UCGAAAAGAAGGAAGGCGCCAAAUACGUUACGAACGAAUUUGCAUACGAGCGAAGCUAGCAAAAUCGCCCUCUGGCUAAAAACUCAAAAAGAAAACAUCAGAAACAAAAACAAAAGCCGACGCGUAGAUUUGGCAUGACGAAUUCGAUGUUUUUCGUGAACAGAUCAAUUCAAGGCCAAUCGAAACUUGUCACACAAGCUAACGGUGCGUUCGCUUGUCUACAACGAAGCACAUUCGACACGAUAGCUACAAGUUAGAAUCUGGCCAAAUGUAUUGCACUCACGCAUUCGAAAAAAGCAUUUUGAAGUGUUUGAAUCGAUGACUUUUAAAGUCAUGCAAAUUUGAUUAAAAAUUGCUCAACAAACCUAAUUUACCCUGUUAACCAUUUUCAAUAGUUUUUUACGAACGAAAACUGUUAACCAUAGAUUAUCUUUCUGAAUAGGUCUAUCACAAACCCCGCUCGAUGUUCGUUACCCCUAACCGACGAAAACGCAACCCUAAAAUGAACAGUGCGAUCAUAAAACCUAAGGGUUCUGCGUUGCGAACGAACGAAUUUGUGCUGAUGUCAACAGUGUAACGGAGUCUCCGAAUCGACGCAUCAAACUACCGACUUCAUUAUUUAUUGCAUUUGAGAUUUAUGCAUUCUUGAAACAUGAGUUGCAACGUUCAGGAGAAUCAUUUCACUAGAAUGAAUGUAUAUUCUUAUUUCGCUUACCAUGCAAUGCUAUAGCCUAAUAUAAAGUUCGCAAGACUGGCCAACUGAUGAAUCCCCUUAACUCAUUUUACACCAUCCGCCGUUAUUUGAAUAUUGACUUGAUUUAUGCAAGAGUCAUCUAAACCCCGAAAACAAGUUUCAAGCGAAACUCAAUGACAAUGUAAAAUAGCAGUCUGCCAGUUGCCUUCUUAGAGUUAUCACCUAAAAUCCUGUGUUUCUCCCUUCUUCGCAAACACAGUUUUGACUUCCCUCAUAGGUCUAUAACAAUUUGUUCCAUUUUAAAAGCGUAUUUUCUUCGUAGCUUCAUCAUUUUAUCGUGCCCUACCGUUUAUUUUAUUCACCCUAUUUUGAUGAUGCGCCUUCUUAUUUUCUUCUUUCACGGCAACGUGCGAUGACCUGACGGAGAAAAGAAAAAUUUCUCAGCAACAUCAGCAAAUUUUGUGGUUUUGUUUGAGUUGCGACGACGCCAAAGGAUCUGAAUUAAAAAGUGCUCAUCCAGUCGUGCAAUAGCUUGGCAGCCUGCUUCUUAUAGGCCUACUCUUAAAGGAAUAGGUCCUAUAUUAUUGCUAUUUAUUUUCGACAAGAGAGAAAUGAGGGUAGCUGUUCUUCUUAUAGCAUUCGCCUCACUAGCUCUUUGUUCCUAUUUUGUCGACGCUGGCUGGCCAAUUGCAGAAAAUGGAAAAGUUUGUCGAUCACAAUGUUUGAAAAACUUCAGAUUGGACUACUUCACAUGCGCUACUAACUUGUUUGAGCCGUGGAACAAUAAAGAAAAAUGUAAUCCAGCACGAGUUAUAGGGAAUGGAAAAUCCGUGUUAACGAAAACCCAACUAGAAUUCUGCAUGAGCGAGUGUAACACACAAGGAUACUCUUACACCUGGUGCUGGACGCACACGAGCUGGGACUAUUGCGAACCAAGUUCGACUAGGGUUCGGCAACAUAUAACCAGAUGGGGUGAAUAUUGCACAGCGACUUUUCAUUUGAGGACCUUGCACUAAAGAUGGGACGGACUUCUAUUGGUGCAGGCGUGGAUCGGCUUACAACUCAAUUGAUACUUGGGAUUAUUGCUCACCAGAAGUAGGUAUAACGCGAUACGAGUUCAAAUGCAAGCCGGGACAUCCGUGUGCCAAGCAUGGGGGAAAAGAGUACUACUGGUGUUAUGUCGAAUCCAAUCAUUUGAAAUGGGAUUGGGAUUACUGUAGUCCGCCUUACGAUUUGUAUGAAUUCAUGGAUGAUUAUACUUUGAAUUUUGUGGGCAAUUUCAACGUGCCAGACGACCAAGACCUGCAACAGCGUUGUCAAAUCCGGAACAAACGCUCUUCGGGAGAUUGGACUAGCUAUCCUUUUCUUUACCGUAUUUUAGCAGGCGGAAGAAUUUUACCUCAGGAACGGGACGUCAACGAAGGAACUGGUCUUGAUGGGAUAGUCAGUAGAUCGCUACGUAAUAAUCGGGAAAGACCAACUAUUAACCAGCGACUCCAAAUUCCCAUACAUGUGGCUCGGAACCCAAAUGACACUCCGUGGAUAUCAACAUCCGCCAAUUUUGAACUGCAGGAUUGUACAAUUCGAAGGAAUGUUGAAAGACGAUACAGGUCUAAUACUAGAGAUUCCCACGAACUCUAUUUGGUUACUAUAGAUGUCCGUUACCUUACUGUUGGUAAUCAAGGACGCCUCAAUCAACGUACUGUUGUGAACUUGGAUGACUAUCGUGUCAGGAAUGCACUGCUCUCGUCUAACAUAGCCUACAGGCACUGAAUUAUGCGCGUAGUUGGAACGAGGUGUUGAUCUAUUGGGCAAUACCUUGCCAGGCAAUCGUUAACAGCAGAAGAUACUAUUUCAAUCCAUACACAAAUCGAGUGGAGGCCAUAGAGAUUUUAAAUCCCAAUUACUGCAGAGAAGGGUGCAAAGAGCAAAGACCGAAAGAUGAAGAUUUUUCCGAUGAGGAUCGUUCAUAUGGCGGUGGAUACCCCAAUUACUUAUGAAUUAUGAUUUUGCUGUGGACGAAGGGAAUUUGUGUCAUUAUGUAACUAACAAUGAGAUGCAAUCGAUUUACUGAUGCAGUAGAAAGAGACUUAGUCGAAAUAAGCUCGGAAAAAAGUGUUCCUUUAAAACAGCAAACCCCAUGUCGCUUACAUAAAAUUAUAUUUUGGUGCAUAGAAAAACAUACUUUUUUCCGUUAAAUAAAUAAAAUAAUCAAAUACGAAAUUGUAAUGAAAUUUUCGUAGUUGUCUAAAAGAUGUUAUUACAAUUUUCAAAUGGAA
rnacentral:misc_RNA from 1 species